rnacentral:rRNA from 1 species
CAGCAGCCACGGGAAUACGGAGGGAGCUAGCGUUGUUCGGAAUUACUGGGCGUAAAGCGCGCGUAGGCGGUUACUCAAGUCAGAGGUGAAAGCCCGGGGCUCAACCCCGGAACUGCCUUUGAAACUAGGUGACUAGAAUCUUGGAGAGGUCAGUGGAAUUCCGAGUGUAGAGGUGAAAUUUGUAGAUAUUCGGAAGAACACCAGUGGCGAAGGCGACUGACUGGACAAGUAUUGACGCUGAGGUGCGAAAGCGUGGGGAGCAAACAGGAUUAGAUACCCCCGUAGUCCCUGUCUCUUAUAC